GGAGAGGUGGUCGAGUGGUCUAAGGCGCACGCUUGGAAAGCGUGUAUAUGCGAAAGUGUAUCAAGGGUUCGAAUCCCUUUCUCUCCG
rnacentral:tRNA from 1 species